UACGUAGGGCGCAAGCGUUGUCCGGAAUUAUUGGGCGUAAAGAGCUCGUAGGCGGCUUGUCACGUCGGGUGUGAAAGCCCGGGGCUUAACCCCGGGUCUGCAUUCGAUACGGGCUAGCUAGAGUGUGGUAGGGGAGAUCGGAAUUCCUGGUGUAGCGGUGAAAUGCGUAGAUAUCUGGAGGAACACCGGUGGCGAAGGCGGCAUUCUGGACCGAAACUGACGCUGAGGCGCGAAAGCCAGGGGAGCAAACGGG
rnacentral:rRNA from 1 species